GCCCCCGUAGCUCAGGUGGAUAGAGCAUCUGCCUUCUAAGCAGAUGGCCACAGGUUCGAGUCCUGUCGGGGGUA
rnacentral:tRNA from 1 species